UAAGGAAUAUUGGUCAAUGGACGAAAGUCUGAACCAGCCAUGCCGCGUGAAGGAUUAAGGUCCUCUGGAUUGUAAACUUCUUUUAUAUGGGACGAAAAAAGGUCUUUCUAGAUCACUUGACGGUACCAUAUGAAUAAGCACCGGCUAACUCCGUGCCAGCAGCCGCGGUAAUACGGAGGGUGCAAGCGUUAUCCGGAUUCACUGGGUUUAAAGGGUGCGUAGGCGGGUAGGUAAGUCAGUGGUGAAAUCCUGGAGCUCAACUCCAGAACUGCCAUUGAUACUAUCUAUCUUGAAUAUUGUGGAGGUAAGCGGAAUAUGUCAUGUAGCGGUGAAAUGCUUAGAUAUGACAUAGAACACCCAUUGCGAAGGCAGCUUACUACGCAUAUAUUGACGCUGAGGC
rnacentral:rRNA from 1 species